GCGUCCAUAGCUCAGGUGGAUAGAGCACUUGCCUUCUAAGCAGGUUGUCGCUGGUUCGAGUCCAGCUGGACGCA
rnacentral:tRNA from 2 species